UACGUAGGGACCAAGCGUUGUUCGGAUUUACUGGGCGUAAAGGGCGCGUAGGCGGCGCGGUAAGUCACUUGUGAAAUCUCUGAGCUUAACUCAGAACGGUCAAGUGAUACUGCUGUGCUAGAGUGCGGAAGGGGCAAUCGGAAUUCUCGGUGUAGCGGUGAAAUGCGUAGAUAUCGGGAGGAACACCAAUGGCGAAGGCAGCUCGCUGGGACGUGACUGACGCUGAGACGCGAAAGCGUGGGGAGCAAACAGG
rnacentral:rRNA from 1 species